rnacentral:rRNA from 1 species
GCGKGAGUGKGAGSGSUUUCRGCUCGUWAAACUCUGUUGUUGGAGAAGAACAGGMGUGAGAGUAACUGUUCACAUCUUGACGGUAUCCAACCAGAAAGCCACGGCUAACUACGUGCCAGCAGCCGCGGUAAUACGUAGGUGGCAAGCGUUGUCCGGAUUUAUUGGGCGUAAAGCGAGCGCAGGCGGUUUCUUAGGUCUGAUGUGAAAGCCUUCGGCUUAACCGGAGAAGUGCAUCGGAAACCAGGARACUUGAGUGCAGAAGAGGACAGUGGAACUCCAUGUGUAGCGGUGAAAU